rnacentral:rRNA from 1 species
GAUGAACGCUGGCGGCGUGCCUAAUACAUGCAAGUCGAGCGAACGGACGAGAAGCUUGCUUCUCUGAUGUUAGCGGCGGACGGGCGAGUAACACGUGGAUAACCUACCUAUAAGACUGGGAUAACUUCGGGAAACCGGAGCUAAUACCGGAUAAUAUUUUGAACCGCAUGGUUCAAAAGUGAAAGACGGUCUUGCUGUCACUUAUAGAUGGAUCCGCGCUGCAUUAGCUAGUUGGUAAGGUAACGGCUUACCAAGGCAACGAUGCAUAGCCGACCUGAGAGGGGGAUCGGCCACACUGGAACUGAGCCACGGUCCAGACUCCUACGGGAGGCAGCAGUAGGGAAUCUUCCGCAAUGGGCGAAAGCCUGACGGAGCAACGCCGCGUGAGUGAUGAAGGUCUUCGGAUCGUAAAACUCUGUUAUUAGGGAAGAACAUAUGUGUAAGUAACUGUGCACAUCUUGACGGUAACUAAUCAGAAAGCCACGGCUAACUACGUG